rnacentral:rRNA from 1 species
AUACGGAGGGUGCAAGCGUUACUCGGAAUCACUGGGCGUAAAGGAUGCGUAGGCGGAUAAUCAAGUCAAAAGUGAAAUCCCACGGCUUAACCGUGGAACUGCUUUCGAAACUGGUUAUCUAGAAUAUGGAAGAGGCAGAUGGAAUUAGUGGUGUAGGGGUAAAAUCCGUAGAGAUCACUAGGAAUACCGAUUGCGAAGGCGAUCUGCUGGGACAUUAUUGACGCUGAGGCAUGAAAGCGUGGGGAGCAAACAGGAUUAGAUACCCGAGUAGUCC